UUGGAGGGCAAGUCUGGUGCCAGCAGCCGCGGUAAUUCCAGCUCCAAUAGCGUAUAUUAAAGUUGUUGCAGUUAAAAAGCUCGUAGUUGAAUUUCGGGGUUAGUAGGUUGGUCAUGCCUCUGGUAUGUACUGGUCUCACUGAUUCCUCCUUCCUUAUGAACCGUAAUGCCAUUAAUUUGGUGUUGCGGGAAAUUUGGACUGUUACUUUGAAAAAAUUAGAGUGUUUAAAGCAAGCUAACGCUUGAAUACAUUAGCAUGGAAUAAUGAAAUAGGACGUUCGAUCUUAUUUUGUUGGUUUCUAGGAUUGACGUAAUGAUUAAUAGGGAUAGUUGGGGGCAUUAGUAUUCAAUUGUCAGAGGUGAAAUUCUUGGAUUUAUUGAAGACUAACUACUGCGAAAGCAUUUGCCAAGGAUGUUUUCAUUAAUCAAGAACGAAAGUUAGGGGAUCGAAGACGAUCGGAUACCGUCGUAGUCUUAACCAUAAACUAUGCCGACUAGGGAUCGGAUGAUGUUAAUUUUUUAAUGACUCAUUCGGCGCCUUACGGGAAAC
rnacentral:rRNA from 1 species